UUUUUUUUACAUUCACCACACUUUUUCGAUUCUUCUCCAAACCCUAAUUCCACUCUACCCUCAUUUUAUAUUUUCCAGUUUUCCCCAAUUCUCAGAUCUCAAACUGCUUCUGAUUUAAUCUUUUGUUAAAUCAGGUUAACAUUUCAAUAAUCAGAACUACCGUUUCACGUUUUUUUCUUCCAAUUUUUUUUCAUUUUAGAGAUAGAUUGAAGUCGAUUGCAUCACUAUUUUGAUUUGAACCGACAAUUGAAACCGUUAGCUUAAGCGUGCUAAGUCUUCGAAUUU
rnacentral:lncRNA from 1 species